rnacentral:rRNA from 1 species
ACGUAGGGGGCAAGCGUUGUCCGGAAUCAUUGGGCGUAAAGCGCGUGUAGGCGGCUGACUAAGUCCGCUCUGAAAGCCCGGGGCUCAACCCCGGGAGGCGGGUGGAUACUGGUCAGCUCGAGUCCGGAAGAGGAGUGUGGAAUUCCUGGUGUAGCGGUGAAAUGCGCAGAUAUCGGGAAGAACACCCGUGGCGAAGGCGGCACUCUGGGACGGUACUGACGCUGAGACGCGAAAGCGUGGGGAGCGAACAGGA